GAUGGAGCAGAGGGAGGCAGACUGUGGAUGAAUGAGGAGGUGAAGGCCUGCAGGCGGGUGGAGACAGAGGAGAUACCCAGCUGGGAUAAUGAGCUCGCCAAAGGAGAAGACUGAAAGCACUGACACGAGGAAGGAACGAGUCAGAGGACCAGUGAGUGUCAGCAGAACCACUGUUCAGGACCAGACCACAGACAUCAGCCACAACUGACCGUGUACUUAGUGAAAACCUCAGACAGCAGAAAGCAGAGAAAGAGGAGGAGCAAGGAGAGCAGCCAUGGUGGAAGGACAGGUAUGUACCACCAGCAGAUAGAGGAAGUGGCUCUGUAGAUAUUUAUAGUCAGUCCUCAUGCAUAUGCUGUGCAUAUAGUAAGUGUCUGUCAUGAAGGUGUCAUGUGUGCAUAUCUGUGGUCAGUAAAGCUGAUUGUGAUUAAUAGCUACACUACAGAGAGCCCAAAGAGUUGUUGCAUUGCUUGUUAGCCUUGUUUAGGGAGGGCUGGGGUUUCUUUGGAGCCCCAAUUCAUUAAAGUUAGUUCAGCACCAAGUGAAAAGAAUCCCUGAAGACUCAGCACAGAAAGUGUGGGACAGAAGUUUGCUGUGAAGACAUGGACUGAGUUAGAAAACUAGCAACAUGAUUUAUAACGGACAGUCAUCAUUAAUGAUGGAGAACUGAAAGGACAUGAAGGCUGCGCUGUUACACUUUUUGAUAGCUGGAAACUUUAACUGUCAUCAGAAAACAUCAAAUAUUCUGGAUCCUCUCUGCAGUGUCUCUUCUUUCCUCUGUGACUUCCAUGGAUUUUAGCUCAAAAAUGUUUUUAAAUGGUUUGUCAGCAAACUGACCUCUGACCUCUGCAGUACUGACCUGUACAAAGAGCUGUCAGUCUCAGCUCUUCUCUCCCAGCACUGGUGGAGCAGGU